UUUUCUCUUCAUAACAGUAAAUUGACAAAACUGCCCUCAACUAAACAUCUUCCUCUGUUCCCUUUUUGCCCCUUCCCCUCCGCUGCGAACGUUUCGUUCGCUCAGAGAAGGCGUCCAUUUUCAGUUCAUUUCGAACCAGCUAGUUGGGGGGCAGCCAUGGAAGAUCCGCAUUCAUUGUUAGACAUGCGUGGGGGGGCGUCGAUUUUCGUUUGGGAGGUGCGCUGCAAAUCCAGCCGCACUUUUAGUCUUUGUCUCACAGAUUUGUGGUUGGGAGAUUUCUCAUCGUUUCUACAGCCUUCGACUCAGACGUCUUCCAUCUUUCUUGCUUGCGAGUUUUUGCAUCCUUUGUCUUCAGGUAUGCAUACCGUCAACUUUUUAACAGAUCUUUUGGUCUUCAUUUCAUGAAUUUGUUUGUUGGCUGGGAGAUUUUUCGUCCUUUGUAGAGCGUGGGUGUGAGCCAUGUUCUAUUUUAGGGUAUUUUUUAUUUAUUUUUUACGAAUUUGGGUUCAUUUAUUUGGUUAAUUUGACUUCAGGUUCUUGGGUAAUCCAUAAUGCUAUAUAAGAGGAGAUGAGGUAUUUAUAUUUCACAACAUAUUGGGUUCUAUCAGGAAGGGAUUGAAUCUCACAUAUUAGCUCAGGUAUUUCCAUCGUUAUUAUUAUUAAUUUUUUUAAUCAAUUGUCGUUUCAAUGACUUUGCUCUCUUGGAGAAAUUUUAGAAAUGGAAAUCAUUCCCAAUUUCAGUUUUGGUUGCCGAUAAAACACUGGAAAGCAAAGACCAAGCGUGCUUUUAAAAAAAAAAAAAAAAAUUCCUUUUUUUAUCUGCUUUUGGUUGCUGUAUCCUAAAUAUGGAGAAAAAAAUUAAUGAUAAAACUCAAGGGAAAAAGAAGUGAAGAUUAAUCAGGUUUCGACAAAAUAGAAAAUGGGAAUGAUUAACCAGCAACCAUACUGAUAAAGUGCCAUCUUCCCUUCUUUGUGUACUCUCUAAGUUCUGCUCGCGUCAAUUUUUUCACCCUAUGCUCUGAGACAUAGCUAUGUGGCUUAAACUUUGGUUUCUGUAUAUGAAAAAUAUAGUUCUUGACUGCGAAGCUUUUCUGCAUAUGUCACAGAUUCUUAAAUUCGAUCCUAAAUUCCUUAUGUUCAACUAGAAAGAAAGGUUUCCUUUUAUCUUCUUGAAAUAAUUCAUGUUUUAAAACCCAUUUAUCUAGAUUGACUCUCAAGCAUAUGGCGUCUGGGGAAACAUAUGGUUUACUUUGUCAGUUCGAUAUGCUUGGUACAUAAGUUCUGAAAAUUGUAUGGCCUGAUUGAGCAGGCAUGCUGUAGAGUUCUUGCUUGAAUGUGUAUGGUUUGUCCUUUAAAAUUACAAUUGAACAUAAUAUCCUAGAUAUUAGGAUUGCCGCAGGCUUAUGUAGAUCACAGUCUGUGCAACGAUUCAAUCCUGAGUGAGAGAGUGGUUUUGUGAUUUUGAUUGUUUAUGGUGACUUUUGAUUAAUGUUCACUUGAGUUGUCAAGACAAAGGGAAUGUAAAUCUAGAUCAACGCUUACAGAAAAUUAAAGUUAUAUAUUGAAGUUUUUGGUUUAUAGAAUUAGAGAGGCUGAGAAAAUAGAAAUCAUGCUACAGUAUACCUGGAAUGAAGAUUUUUGCUGCCUCCUUCAAGGAACCUAAAUCUGUUGUCUUUGGCCUGUCCAAGUCAGCAUAUAUUAGAUAAACUGUACAUUAGUAUUUAUCAAGCAGUUUAGAAAGUGUCACCUUAUAAACAGGGCCAAAUCCUCCCUCUCCCAUUUUAUUCGCUACAUUGAAGUUGUUUGUUGCAGCUAAAACUCUUUUUAAAUUGAAGAGUGGUAGUUCUGCAUCAUUCUUCGCAGCUUCAGCUCUUUCUUUACUUAUAGUCUCACUCAUACAGCCUACUGUGCUUCCUGUUUCAUUCUUAUUAUUAGAGCAUUGGUUGUUUGGAACACUAGAAUAUAUGUUUGUGUGAGUGAGAAAGAGAAAAAGAAAGAGAAGGGUGGUAGCACUAUACCUUCCAUUCCCAAGUAUUUCUUCCAUAUGAAGAAUUUGUUGGCUGGGAGAUUUUUUGUCAAGAGACGUUCUUUCUUUUAGUGGUUUGAUGUUGAUUCGACAGUUGAAGGCUCUGAAAGCAAGUUAAUAUAUAGAGUGACAGUAAUUAUAAAUAGAUGGAUCAUGGAUCUUGGUGCAAUUUUCUCUGUUUUUUGGGUUAUUUUUUAUGCUGUUUUGAUUCAUGGGUUGGUUUUUAUGUAUUUUGUUUUUAGAAGUUGGACUUUUUGGAAUUUGAUAUUGAUAUGGGAAUUGAAAGCUUCAGUUCAGGAUAAUGCUUUUCAGUGUGUGUGUUUUUUUAAUAUGUCAGUCAGAGACUUGAAUCUUAUCUGCAUAAUAUUUCUCCUCCUUUCUGUUUCUUUUGGAUUAAACCUGAAAAAAAAAAAAAAAAAACAAGUGUCCAAUGCAAUGCAAUUGAGACUCUACUUAAUGAAAUUGUUCUCUGGCUUUUCCUUAUCUGAAAAAUGCCAAUUUUCCAUGGAAACAAAGGAAAUUAGGAUAUUAUAUAGAAACAAAAGAAAUUGUUGUGUUAUGUAUUGCAAUACAUUUAGUGAAAAAACUUUUUUUUAAUAAAUGUUUUUUUUUUUCUUUUUCCAAUUCAUAGUGGAAAUAACUUUAAAGUGGGAAAAGAUCAUCAAUUUUUAACAAUGAGGAUGAGAUUUUUUUUAAAAAAAAGGUUGGCUACAUAUCAAAACACUGUUAAAGAUGUAGCACAUGUGGCACUAAUUACACAAAUUGUGUAAUGAUCUAUUGUUGUUAAUAUUUGCUUUCUUAUUUUAUUUUUUGUUUUUCUGUUCAUGUUUUUUUAUACUAAUUUUAUGUAAUAUUUACUGAUUUGGUGAUGUCAUGUUAGAGAUGUUCAAAGUUUGAGCACUACCUCCAAUAUUUGAAUUCUAAUUCUGAAUUUUAAUUAUUCUCUCUUUCUAAGUUUGAACACUACCUCUAUUAUCUGGAACAAAUUGGCAAAACACAAAACACAUUUCAAUUGAGAUAAAAUUUGACCAUGCAGAGAGCUUCUUUGUCUGAGGUUUGGAGGUGUAAGAGGAGUUGGGGUUGCACUAAUUUUUGUUUGUGGUAUCAUGGAGUCACACAGUCAUUUAAUGUUAUUGAUUACAUCUGUUUUGCUUGGUUAGGCUAUAGAAGCUCUGUUUAAUUAGUUUUUGGAUAUUGUGUUGUUUGAAAAUUCUUAUUCUAUAGUUGUGCUAUUGUUGGUGUGUGUCCAUUUUGCUUCAUUAGGCUAUAGAUGUAAUUAAGAAAUAAUAGUUAAUUCAUGAAUGUUUUUUCCCUUCCCAACUAUUGAUCUGUUGGUCGAAGUUUGACUCUGAUUUUUGCUUUGGAUUUUGAUGAUGGCUGAUAUUCUUUUUUUUUCUAUCUCUGUUUGUUUUUGUUUUCUAGGACUUUUCUUUUGUUUUAGAAGUGGACUAACAAAGUUCAGGCAUCUCAUAUAAAAACACUGCAAAGAACAACAUAUUUGGACAGUUUUGGGACUAGAAAAUCAUAAACUGCAAUUCUUUUGAUUUUUUCUUGCUUUUUCUCUUCUUUCUUAAUCAUGUUUUGUUUUGAUGUUUUGUAGGUGUUGUUUUUCUGCUUUAGAUAGUGCUGUUUGGUGAUUGUUUUUGGUUAUGUUAAGCAAGAGGUGUGUUUCUAUGUUGAAAUUUCAAUUUAUUGUUUUCGGUUUUGUGAAUAGAGCAUAGUAAUUAGCUAAUGGCAUCAAUUGACAAUUGGUUGGGAUAAAUUUGAACUAAUUGCUAUGGUUGUACAGCUGUAAAUGAAGUCAAGUAAUUCUUAUGUGGUUUGAACUAAUGACAAGCUGUUUCAACGUAUCCUAUAACCAUCUUUGGGGUCCUAUACCACUUGGCGAACAAUUUGGUACAUUCCUAGAAGUUUCAUACUAGGGAAACUCAGGUCUUUUUUUGAAGCCUUUGUCAAAGAAAUGUGAUAGCUCAAUAUCGCUACCGCCAUCAAUCUUUGAAGAAGAUGAAGAUUCCGGGUUUCAAAUUGCACUAGAUUGGUAUGUGGUUCUGCCAGGAGCUUUUAGUGGUUGCUGGGAACUUCUGGACAAGCAAGAAUCAUGAAUGGUUUUUAGAGAAAUUUAGCAGAAAGAGGCAGCCAAGAGUCACACGGGGAAGGAAAGGACACAGAAACUAGGUACUUAUUUUAAAUCUAUGUUUAUCUUGCAGCUGCAGCUGCUGUUGUUUAGAAUAAUUGUAUGGGGUCUGGUGCAUUCUGUUUUAUUACAAUAAGGGUGGUGGUGUGUAUUUUGCUUGUAUUAAUUUGUGGUGCUGUAAGUUGCUUGUAUUAAUUUUUACAACAAGUAAGCAAAGAUAAAAG
rnacentral:lncRNA from 1 species